UGGGGAAUAUUGGACAAUGGGCGAAAGCCUGAUCCAGCCAUGCCGCGUGUGUGAAGAAGGUCUUUGGAUUGUAAAGCACUUUAAGUUGGGAGGAAGGGCAGUAAGCGAAUACCUUGCUGUUUUGACGUUACCGACAGAAUAAGCACCGGCUAACUCUGUGCCAGCAGCCGCGGUAAUACAGAGGGUGCAAGCGUUAAUCGGAAUUACUGGGCGUAAAGCGCGCGUAGGCGGUUCGUUAAGUUGAAUGUGAAAGCCCCGGGCUCAACCUGGGAACUGCAUCCAAAACUGGCGAGCUAGAGUAGGGCAGAGGGUGGUGGAGUUUCCUGUGUAGCGGUGAAAUGCGUAGAUAUAGGAAGGAACACCAGUGGCGAAGGCGACCACCUGGGCUCAUACUGACACUAAGGUGCGAAAGCGUGGGGAGCAAACAGG
rnacentral:rRNA from 1 species